CCUGUUAGCACAGAGGGAAGCACGAGAGUGAACGAUGUUUACGGACCAUGUUUUUCUUAUCAGUGGACCUACACGACCUUCUGAAUCACUUCCAACCAUCACAAGAAUGACAAGGUACCGAGAUC